GGAGCGGCGGCCGUUGGGGCGCGCGCGCGCUCGCGCCGGCGGCACCUCCCGUCCUCCGCCGUCCCCUCCCUCAGUCCCGCUCGGCGGCCGCCGCGGCAGCACCCGCGGAGCCGGAGCCGCUCUGGGUAGCGCUGCCUCAUCCUCCUCUUCCUCCUCAGCUCCGCUAUCCCCCGGGCACGAUGCAGUUUAUGUUGCUUUUUAGUCGCCAGGGGAAACUGAGACUCCAGAAGUGGUAUGUCCCAUUAUCUGACAAAGAAAAGAAGAAAAUCACAAGGGAACUUGUUCAAACGGUAUUAGCCCGCAAACCGAAAAUGUGCAGUUUCCUCGAAUGGAGAGACCUGAAGAUUGUCUACAAAAGAUAUGCAAGUCUCUAUUUCUGCUGUGCUAUUGAAGAUCAGGACAAUGAACUAAUAACUCUGGAAAUAAUUCAUCGCUAUGUAGAACUUCUUGACAAGUAUUUUGGCAGUGUAUGUGAACUUGAUAUCAUCUUCAAUUUUGAAAAAGCCUAUUUCAUUCUGGAUGAGUUCCUUUUAGGAGGGGAAGUUCAGGAGACUUCCAAGAAAAAUGUUCUUAAAGCCAUCGAACAAGCAGAUCUUUUACAGGAGAGCCAGAAUGAAGACUGGGGAGGUUUGUCUGAGGAUAUCUUAUGAUUAAGAGCAUUCUAAGGCAUUAGCCUUUUUGACCCCCAUCUAAAUGAUUGCCACGACAUGAAUACUUUAAUGUGCCAGUGUACUAAAUGGCUUCAUUCAUCAUGCAUGCAGAGUUUCAGAGGAGAUAGACCUGUGACUUACUCAUGACAGAACAUUAUCAUCAGCUUGCUGAAUCCAGUCAUCUUGAAUCUAAUAGAAUGCCACAACCAUUCUCUAUUGUUGUACUUUCCUCUUCCCCCUCUGUUUUACAGUGUUGUCUCUUCAUGUCUCAUUUCAACAAAACUUGUGCUUGUUGGCAUAUGGUUUAACUUUUUUAUUGUGUGUAAGCUUGAAGUCUUAUGCUUAAAAGUUCUGUAGCAUUUUCUGAGCUAAACAUCUAUAUACUGUAACACCUUACUGUAACAUUACUCAACCUGUGUUUAUCUUUCAAAUAGGUUGUGGUGGUAUUUAAACAUACACUUAAAACCUGUUCGUGAGGUUCAUACUUAACAGAGAAACCAGUGAAGGAGUAGUAUCAUGUGAAAUGUGUAUACACACAAGUAUUACAUGGUGUUAUACACAGUUCUACACAGACCGUUAUCACAAAGAUGCAAAUACCAAUACUCUUUUCUGAAGACUGGCACAAUAGUGUGACUGACUUUACAAAGAGGAGAAAGGCAGAAUUGAUUAGGUCAAAGAGAAUGACUUAGAUAAAUUUGGAGCUAGAACAUUUGUAUUUAAAUGUUCAAAACACUCUUGUGAGUAGUUGAACGGUUGCUGCCACUGAAGGUGAGAGUAAGAUCAUUGCUUUACAAAUGAAUAAUAGAAUCAUAGAAUCAUCAAAGUUGGAAAAGACCUCUAAGAUCACUGAGUCCAACCAUUAAUGGUUAGGGUUGGAAAGAUCUAAGUCCAUUAACAGUAUACUUGAAAUAUAUCUUUUUAAAUUGGCAUUUCCAGAUUUAAGUGCAGGCUGCCUUGUGUAUCCGAGAACUGCCACUGCACGUAAGUGCAUUCAGUUGAAAAGUGGGCAGAGUGAGAGGGCAUGUAUUGCAUCCUCUGUUUGUAACCUAAAACCAAUGCUGGUUUUGAAAAUUGUUUUAGUGUAAUUAACAAGGAAGUGGUUACUGAUAUUAACCACAAACAGUAGUUCUAUAUGUGGUAAUGCACUACCUUCCAAAUGUUAAACUGACAUAAAAAUGGGAGAUUUAGGGUAUUAGACAAAAGAUUUGAAUUGGAUUUGCAGCAUUCUGGAAUCUUAGAAAACAAGAUCAUAGGAGUGGUUUUCCAUUUCCAAGUUUGCCUUUUUUUCUGUAAGCCAUUAACAAUGUGUUUGGAUGUCUGGUUAAUGCUGCUUUAGCCUGCAUUAUUUCAUGCCUGUUGGCUUAAAAUGCUGUGCAUUGAGCUGUAAUGAGAUGCUGUUUUUCUUGUUAUCUGUAUACAGCUGCUUGCUUCUAAAUGACUAGGUAAUGAAUUGGCUUUUCUGGCAUGUUUGAAAUAAAGUAUUGCAUGCACUUUUGUCUCAUGUGAAUGACUUUUUUCCUCAUCUGUGUUCUGAUAUUUCAAAUUUGCAUUGUUUGCCUUGGGUGAUUUUGAGCUGCAGGUAGUGUAUAAUACUGCAGAACAUUUUCCAUAAGAAUUGGAUGAGAUGUUUGACACUUACUAAAACAAAUAAUGUGAACAAAACAUAAUAUAAUUCAUUCUGUUUGUUUCUUAAAAGUCAUAAUUGAUGAAAUUAUUCCUCUAGCAAAACACAUUACCCUUUAGGUGUUCCUUGGGAUUAUAUUGUUGAUGAGCCUAUAAGAAGGCAUGACUGCUUCAAGGUUACUGCUGUAGUAUUAAAAAAAUUAAAAUAUUACUGUAUUUUAUGGGUGAGAUAUCUGCGGACAAGUAGCCAAUGUCCUUGAAAUAGGUUGCUUUCAGUUGUUAGCCAAUGACCUUGAUUUACUUGAAGAAAUUUAGUCAUUUAAGUAUAUACCUGCUGAAAAUCACCUAUGACUUUGAAUUGGCAGUGGAGACAACAAUACUAAACUGCUCUAAAGACAGCAGCAGCAAUGCUCUGUAUUUCUUCAUAGCUAUUGAGAAGUUUGUUUUGAGGCAAUUUUGUAAAUACCGUUUCACCCCUCAGUAACUCAAGUGUCCACUGCUGUCUAAUCAAUUUAAAACUGAAAAGUGGAUCUAUUACAAAUAUUUUCAAGACCCUAAAAUGCUUGAGAAGGUAUGUUCUGUUAGAAUACCCUAAGUUCUGUUGCCAUAGUUAGUUAGCAAUGUAGGAUUUCUUGAGUAAAACCCUUAGGUUGGUGGAUAGAGGAGAUGUGUGUCUUCUAAAACGAAUGCAACAAAGUAAUCUGGGAAUAUAAUAGAACAAGUUAUAUUAAAAAUGCUACAUAGCCAUUUCUUCAGUCAGUGUCUCCUUUUGGGGGAUUUGUGUUAAAAUACACAUGUAAAUCUUUAAUCCUGCUAUCCUGUCUGGCUUUAUCAAGGUCACUGCAGUUCUAAGAAUAUUUAAGUAUUGCAUCAGUGAGGGGAAAAAAAACCAAGCCAUCACUACAUCUUUAAUACACCAAGUAUCUUGUUUCCAGAUUUAACUUGCCUUUUUCUUGCAAUUUCUUACUUGCUGCUGGAUUUUGGAAGCCAUCUAAAAGUGUUCAGAGGAGGCCUGUUCCAAGCUCUGACUGACUGUUAAAUGAAGUUGCCUUUAAAGUAUCAGAGCUUGUUCCUUCUCUGCUGAAUCACCUUAUACAUGAAUAAGGAUACUAAACUUGAUCAUUUUGUGCUACAUAGUCAAGGUUGAGAGAGAGACAAUGUUUGGAUGUUAUUUGCAAGAUUUGAAGUGUUUCAUUAUGUAUUUUACUGACAACUUUUUUCUAAUAAAUAUUUACAAAGAGUUGAAAAAUAAUUUGUUGGCUGCCUUAACUGUUAUCUGCCUUUUUUUCUGCUGCAUGACAUGUCUUGUUUUAGGAUGCUAAAGAAGCAGAGACCCCUCGUAGUGUACUUGAAGAAAUCGGAUUGACAUAAAUCUUCAGCUGAUGCCAUCUCAGUGUUUCAUACUGUAAAUGUUCACUGCCAUCAUUGUAAUGUUUAGCUAAUGGUGUAAGAUGCUGUUUGUCAGUAUUACUGUUUUGCUAAGCUGCUUCUUUCAGGCCUACAAGAAAAAAUACUUCUUUUUAAAAAGGGAACAAGAAACCGAAGUUCUAAAUUUAUAAUGAAAGGGAAUUAGAUUUAAAUUGACUCAGUGUCUCCCUUCACUGCAUUUAUAGGAAAAUUGCAUUUGACUUCGAUAAGUUUACUGUUUUUUAUAAGGAAACUUGACUUCAGGAAAUAAAUGUAUUAUUAUGACAUAGCAUAGCAUAUCUAAAUGAAAAGAAACUACACAGACAACUCCAAAUAUGAAAUGUCAUGGUGUGGAAAUUGUGUUUAUGCAACCAAAGAAUUUGUUCAUCUACAUUUUAGUCACCACUUAUGAUAAUUCUGCUUAUUUCAGUUGUUGCAUAAAGAAUGGAAAUAUCUGUUAACUACUGAAUUUGUCAUUAUACCAAAGAAUCCUGCCAGGAUCUACAUAUCAAACUGGUAAACACUGUUAAGGUGAUAACUGCUUUUUGCAAGAAAACUGCAAAGUGAUUCGCUCACUAGACGUGAGGGUGUAUUUUAGUGUAGCUACCUUUAGCAAAACUGUACAAGUUACUAUACUCAAAAGGGAAUGCAUGGAGGAAAGAAGGAAAAAAACUCAAAUAAGGAAACUGGUUUUAGGUCUGAUAUUAGCUUUCUCUGACCAUGAACACAGGAAAGGAGGUCAGCUUUCUGACUGAAUAGAGGGAUUUGCAUGAUGAAAAUCGAAUACUUUCAAAGAUGGGGAAGAUGGAGUUUUACAAAAGGGACUUUUUAUUAUUUUCUUUCCAAGUUUACCAAUUACUUGUAUUUUUAGUGUUUUAUAGUUAAGCUUCAAUGGGUGUAUAGGUACCUGUAGGAAAAAGAAAAGGCCACACUAAGUGUCAAUGUCAUUUAACUGCUUUUCUUGAUUUACACCUUAAACAUGGCACAUCCCUUAGGAAACUCCUGCGUGAUGUACAGUUGAACCAACUAAUUUGCAGUGAGAGCUCUUAGGUAUUAGAUUUGUAUAGUAUAUUCAUUGCAAAUGUAAACUGAUAUCCAGUAAUAUUUUGACACUUUGAGCAGACUUUCAGUAAUUAUAAACUAAACCUGCUUUGAUUGAGGAAAUUCCACUGACGUGUGGUUUUGAGGAGGUAGGGCUGCACUUGGGAGCUGCUAAGUUCUGCUGUGUGUCUUCAUGCUCCCCGUGGAGGUGGGAUCAUCCCCUCCCUCCCCAGGAAUCUCACUCUAGGAGCUGUGGCUCGUUCACUGCAUAGUGCCACAUUUUCACAAAGCUUGGCUCUGGCAGUGCUGAUGGCAGCAGCACUUCCGUGGCCAGCUGGAGAGCUGGGCUGUGGGCUCGAUGGGAUCACAGUGAAGUGGCACCCAGCAGGAAAAGUGCAGUGUUGCCACUUUCAAGGCCCCUGAUCCAGAUCCCAGCAUAAAUGCUUGUGGCAACAGAAAGGCCAGCCAGGGCAGGGCUGUGUGUGCUACUCCUGUGGCAGUACCGGGGUGGUGCCUGUGAACUUGGGGCAUUAGAAGUUGUCUACUUACGCCCGUUCUAGGAUUUACACUUAGAGAUUCCACAUUGCAUGAGACUUUUUUUGUCCCAGGGCAUCUCCCCAGUGCACAGUGGGCAGGAAUAGAUGAGGGUGAAAUCGCAGUGGAAUGACCCUGUGUGUGAGAUUGACUUAAAUUAAGGUAAUUUUACUUCAAACCAGAAGCAAUUUUAUAUGUAUUAAACAUGUUUUUAAAGUUUACACUGUCACUUGUAUGUGCUUGGCUGAAUUAAGCUUUCUUGUGAUUGUGAUAAACUGUUUGACCUCUGUCUGUCACAUUGGUUUAGUUGUAAUAAAUGUCCAUUUUUACACCAUU